GCAGUCGCCGCGGUAAUACGUAGGUGGCAAGCGUUGUCCGGAAUUAUUGGGCGUAAAGGGCUCGCAGGCGGUUUCUUAAGUCUGAUGUGAAAGCCCCCGGCUCAACCGGGGAGGGUCAUUGGAAACUGGGAAACUUGAGUGCAGAAGAGGAGAGUGGAAUUCCACGUGUAGCGGUGAAAUGCGUAGAGAUGUGGAGGAACACCAGUGGCGAAGGCGACUCUCUGGUCUGUAACUGACGCUGAGGAGCGAAAGCGUGGGGAGCGAACAGGAUUAGAUACCCCUGUAGUCCCUGUCUCUUAUAC
rnacentral:rRNA from 1 species